UUGCUCGAGAUAUGCUAGCUAUUCAUUUAGCAUCGCUGGCAACAUACUGAGUCCACAUCACCACAAGAUUCAUUACAUUAGAGGCGUUGAUGUGUUUACGGAAUUGGAAAUGGGCUGACAUAAAAGGCCCAGGGCAAGGAUUUGGUUCAUCAAUUUAUGAUGAUAAUGAUGCAGACGAUAAGGAGGAAACCGAAGUGGCAUAAUUUUGAUGAUAUUGACGAUUUUGGUGAAAAGUUUUGGACUUCUUAUGUGAUAGGUUUAUUUCUCAAUAUUUCAAAAGUAUGCAAUUUAAUAUGUUUUGGAUUUUUUUUAGGUAUAUAAUAAUUUAAAAUUUGUCUACAGGUUGUUUAUGUGUUGCACAUGGAAUGUUAGGUGCUAUGGUCUGAGUGUUAUUCUUGAAUCUUGAUCGUGUGACGUGGGGUCCUUUUGGCUCCUCAUGAAAUAUGAAUAGAGUUUCUUGUUUUUUGUUUUUUGAUUUUUGUUUUUUGUUUUUUUUAUUAUUUGGCUACUCUUUGACUUGUUCGUUGUGAAGGCUUGUUUGUUUGGUUAAUUUGGAAUCAAAUUUAAGUUCAUUAUAAUAUAAUGAUAUAUUACAUUAUAAUGAACUUGAUAGUGUGAUGUGGGUGUUGUUCCAGUGUUACCCUACUUCCCCUGUAAA